rnacentral:rRNA from 1 species
AACGAACGUUGGCGGCGUGGAUUAGGCAUGCAAGUCGUACGCGAAAGAGGGGGCAACUCCUCGAGUAAAGUGGCGAACGGGUGAGUAACGCGUAGGAAACCUGCCUUCGAGAUGGGGAUAACACUCCUAACGGGGUGCUAAUACCGAAUGACACUGCGGGAUCGCAUGGUUCUGCAGUCAAAGGUGGCCUCUGCUUGCAAGCUACCACUCAAAGAUGGUCCUGCGUCCCAUUAGCUAGUUGGCGGGGUAACGGCCCACCAAGGCGACGAUGGGUAGCCGAUCUGAGAGGAUGACCGGCCACACUGGGACUGAGAUACGGCCCAGACUCCUACGGGAGGCAGCAGUCGAGAGGCUUCGGCAAUGGGGAAACCCUGACCGAGCGACGCCGCGUGGAGGAUGAAGGCC